ACUUUUAACAAUGGAUCUCUAGGCUUUCAUAUCGAUGAAGAACACAGUGAAAUGUGAUAAUUAAUGUGAAUUGCAGAAUUCAGUGAAUCAUCAAGUUUUUGAACGCACCUUGCACCUUUUGGUAUUCCAAAAGGUACACCUGUUUGAGUGUCAU
rnacentral:rRNA from 1 species